AUUGAACGCUGGCGGCAGGCUUAACACAUGCAAGUCGAGCGCGCGGCGGACGGGUGCGUUAUGUCUGGGAAACCGUCUGCUGGAGGGGGAUAACUACUGGAAACGGUAGCUAAUACCGCAUACUACCAGAUGUUCCCAGAUGGGAGUAGCUAGUAGGUGGGGUAAUGGCGCACCUAGGCGACGAGCCCCAGCUGGUCUGAGAGGAUCACCAGCCACCCGGGAACUGGGCCACGGUCCAGACUCCUCCGGGAGGCAGCAGUGGGGAAUAUUGCACAAGGGGCGCAAGCCUGAUGCAGCCAUGCGGCGUGUGUGAAGAAGGCCUUCGGGUUGUAAAGCACUUUCAGCGAGGAGGCGUUACUCGCAGAAGAAGCACCGGCUAACUCCGUGCCAGCAGCCGCGGUAAUUC
rnacentral:rRNA from 1 species